GCUCUUGGGGGUAAAGGUGAGGAGCCCGAUUGGAUGAGAGAAAACCCAAGUCGACGCUCUCUCUUUCCCCCUCCUCGCCGUCGCUGCAUCCUGGCGUCGUCGUUGCGUCGUCCUCCUCCCCAUCCCACCUCUUCCCUUCCCGUCGCCUACCCUCCCUGCCUCGCCUCUUCUCUCCCUUCCCGUCGCCCACCCUCCCCGCAUCGCCUCUUCUCCUUUGCGUCGCCUAGGUUGGGCAGAGCCGCUGGGCUCAUCUUCCUCGCUGGCCGCCGCUCCCAUCGCCACACCGCACGAGAGGGUGAAGAGGACGAACCAAGGCGCCUCCUACAUCGAGCCCUCCUCAGUUUGUUCCGGAUCUGACCGCACACUUCACGUCCGCCAUCCGUUGUAUGUCGUUCGCUCGGUUGCCGCCAUGGUAACCCUUGCUCAAGUCGUGGAGGGGCGGCUGGUAGCGGUGAAUGGAGGAGAUCCACCACUGGUGGCAAGGAAAACGAGUCAACAUCGAUGCCAUCCGGCGCCUCCGCCCCGCGACCCUAAUGUGAGCUUCUCCUCCAUUGUCGCUGCUACAUCUUCUCCAGCACCUCCUCCCUUCGUCCUCCUCUUCCUCCCCAUCAUGCAUGUGCCCCUCUCUCUCUCUCUCUCUCUCCCUCCCUCUCUCCCUCUCUCUCUCUCUCUCUCUCUCUCUCUCUCUCUCGUGUGCCUCUCCAUCAAUGGCCACUGUGUGAUUUGGUCUUGAUUUGGUAGGAUAAGCAUAAUAUCUGGUCAACAUUUGCUAGGUACAAAAAAACAUCAUUGGCCACUCUUGGUCCAUUGUGAGACUUGCCAUAUAUACAUGGUUGGUAAGAGCAGCAGGUUAAUUUGAUGGGCAUAAGCAUUAGUGAGGUGAAAAAAUGUGUUCAGGUGUUCUGAAAGAAAAAGUACUUAGUUCUUUCCUCAAUACUCAAUGCCUUUUUGUUUUGAUCGGUUACAACAGUUGAUGAAGAAUGAUGCCCAUUGGUUGGCAUUUAUGAUAUAGCUUCCGACGUCGGAGGUUCCAUAGAAUUUGUGAAGAGAAGUACAUCAAUAGAAAGACCUUUCUUCUGAUAUAUAGCUGUGGCGCAGACGGCAACCAACUUCAACCAGCUUCAGAGUACUCUGCUACCCUAUUUCUCCUUGUCGCUGCCUACUCGGCUUCGUUUGGCAUUAUUUCCAUAGGUACUUAUCGAUGUAGAUUGGGCAUGGAUUGUUGCCUCACAUUUCUUUCAAGCAGUCACGACUUUGGCUGGUUGGGGGUUUCUUGUCUGCUCAGUUUUGUGCAGCCUGUACUUGGCCUAGCGCUCGCUGAGAACCAGAAGCUAGGGCCAUUCAUGUAGCUGCUACCCAUGUGCAGCAAGCUGCUCAACCAAGGUGAGAUAUGCUAAUCUCCCAGUUACUGCUUUGUCAGCUGGAUGGUGUGAUUUUACUUCAUUAGUGGGAGUGGGAGUGUUGUUCCUCUGUCCAAGGGAUUCACUAUCUUCAGUGAGUGCAAUCAUUUUGUUUAAAUGGAGGUGUUAGAUCUAAAUUUACAUUGACUGCAUCACACUCUAAUGUCUUUUGGUUAGAUCAACCUGUAGAACAAACUAUAUGCUGGCCAUCAUCAUGUUUUAGCCUUUUAGGUAUAUUAGAUAAGUAUAUCUAAGAAAUGGCUAGUGUCUUGUGAGGAUUGAGAAAAGUAGUGGUUUGUGUUACUGUGAAUGAUCAUACAAAUUAUGUUGGAUUUGGUUCUUAUGUGCAUAUGCUUUUUGAUAUCUUCCUUUGGCCGGUUAGUGUCUAUCCAUUAUAUUAUUAUAUUGUGUCUAUGGUGAAAACUAACCUAACAGGUGUUGGGGAACGUUGCAUGGAAAACAAAAAAAAUCCUACGCACACGCAAGAUCUAUCCAUGGAGAUGCAUAGCUACGAGAGGGGGAGAGCAUCUACAUAACCUUGUAGAUCGCUAAGCGGAAGCGUUUAUCAACGCGGUUGAUGUAGUCGCACAUCUUCACGAUCCGUCCCGAUCAAGUACCGAAUGUACGUCACCUCUGCGUUCAGCACACGUUCAGCUCGAUGAUGUCCUCGCUUUCUCGAUCCAGCAAAAGAGACGAAGUAGUAGAUUAGUUCCGACAGCACGACGGAGUGGGGAUGGUGGUGGUGAAACUAUCCGUAGGGCUUUGCCAAGCACAACAGACUUGGACGGAGGAGGGACUAGAACUAGAUGGAGAGGGGGCGCCGCACACGACUUGGGGAUCGUGGUGUGUGUUGCCCUCUCCCUCCUCUCAUAUAUAUAGGUGGGGGGAGCAGGGCUGCCCUAGGGCACGCCCAAAGGAGGGCCGGCGUCCACCUUGGGCGCCUGCCCUAGGCACCCCUUUCCUUCCUAGGGGGUGUCGGAGAUGGCAGGAGGGGGGCCGAAGGCUCUCUACCUUAGGGGAUUUGUUAAGUUUUGUGUGAUUGAAGUUUUUUCAAGUUUUGGGUGAGAUGACGAUGGAUGAAGGAAUAAGGAGUGAAAAUAGCCUAAGCUUGGGAUGCCCCAUGGCACCCCAAGUUAUUAUCCAAGGAGAACCAAUCAACUAAGCUUGGGGAUGGCCCGAAAGGCAUCCUGAUGUCUAUUAUGCAACUUUAUUCUUGUAGACUCGUGUUGGGCCUCCAAGCGCAAAGUUUUGUAGGACGGUAGCAUUUUUCCCUCAAGUGGAUGACCUAAGGUUUAUAAAUUUGUGGGAGGUGUAGGAUGAAGAUGGUCUCUCUCAAACAACCCUGCAACCAAAUAAUAAAAAGUCUCUUGUGUCCCAAACACAUCAAAUACAAUGAUAAUUUGUAUAGGCGCACUAGUUCGGUGAAGAGAUGGAAAUAAAAGCAU